AAUUAUUUCUAUUAGGACAUGGUACCUAAUUAUGUGAUGCUUCCAUCAGCAUGUGGCACCUAAUUAAUUGGUUUUGGAAGUUACUGGAUUAUUAAAGCAUACAUUUCUAUAUUGGUUCUUAUAGAACCUAGGUAGAAACAUGUUAUAUUAAACUAGAGCUCCUAUCGCCAUGAGAACCUAGUGAUAGAGAACUACAUUGUGAACAUCAUAUAUGUGAGCUAAGGGUUAGUAGUGAAACCCAAAGUAAGUGUGCUAUUUCUUGAUUAGAGUUAUGGUAUUUACUCUAUAAA
rnacentral:lncRNA from 1 species